CUAAUGUUGCUUAUAGUUUUACAUUAAAAUAUUUGAUUCAAUCUUCUAGUGGAAUAUUUGAGUUAGGUAUAUUAUAGAUAUCAUAACAAUGAACUUGCUAACAUUGCCUGUAGUUGCACAGCAUGUUAAUGGCAGAGAGAUUUUUAAAUCCAGUUCUGCUGAUAUUUGCCUUGAUAUUUGCCUUAACCAGUCUUAACUUUAACGUAGAUCUCAAUAAUAAAAUUAGCUCCCUAUAAAUUUAUUUUUAAAAUAAAUACCAUUUAUUUGCAUACA